GUAAUGGGUUGGCAUCAAAAUCAUUUUGCUUACACCUAUCCUUUAUAAGUUGCUGCAGUACCAAAGUGUCAUUUAGUUGCCCUUUCACAUACAUUAAUAUUGCUGAAAACCAAAGCAGCCUUACUGAUUUCAUUUUAUAACUGCUAAGGAAUCCUUGCAUCUGUUUGGCCUUUAGCAGGAAAAGAAUGAGAGGUUAAAACGAGUUGGAAAUAAUAUUUGAUAUAAGUGAUAGACGUGAUAAUUCUGCACCACUUUCUUCUCUAUGUAUAAAAUGGGAAACAUUGCUCUGAUCAAAUUGCAGACUAAGAUGGAUGUAAUUAUUGUUGUGUUUGAUCUUGGUGAAACGUAUUGGUGAAAUGUACUUAUGAAACUUAUUUGGCAAAAUUUGCAGGACCAAGAUGGUUGAAGAUAUUGCUAAAGGCCAAUGAUGAGAAACCUGAACAGAAUGGUUGAUAUGAAAGUUUGAAUGACUGAAAAGCCUCCUCCCAUUCCAAUGAAAUAAAAGGAAUGGACUAAAAGUGCUACAGGCAUAGAGAAAAUUAAGGAAAGCUUGUUCCCAUCUUCCAGUGUUACUGAAAAUGGAUCCAAUCAUGCCAGGUUGGGAAGAAUUGGAAAAUACUACUAAAGCAAACAAAUCUGCCAAACAGCAGGUAAAGCAGAGAACCAAUUCUUGAAAUAUAUUUCAACAGACGAGAUUGAGCUGUCCGGAGGUGGUUCUCAAGGCGCAGAGAGUAGGCAGCGGAUGAAAUUUGAAAACAAGUCAUGUCAAGUGAGAAAUAGAAACAGCACUCCUUUUCGGGAAUUGUUUCAAGAAUUGAUGUUCCUGCCAUCUGGAGCUUACUUUUAAGGCAGCAGUGAGGAAGGGGCCAUUAGUGCUGAACUCUCUAUUAACAUCUCUCUACCAGUGGAUGGAUUUAAUUAAAAAUUAAAUGAGAUAAACUGAGGACUCUUCAAAUCUUGUGACUUCUUUUCUCCACACCCACUGUGGGCAAGGCCCUCAGCUGUCCCAUUUAUCUGUAAGUCAGAUUCAAAACAA